GUCCUCUAGGGCCUGAGCCAAAGCUCACUGGAGUCAGUGAGAGUCUUUUCACUGACUUCACUGGGCUUUGGAUCAGGCCCUUAAAAU
rnacentral:pre_miRNA from 1 species